ACAUCCUAUUAAUUUUCCUUUCCUUCAAAUUUCAGCCCAUUAUCGAUUACUACCACUUGAAAAUGCUUUGUGGUUUUACACCACUCGUGAUUCAAAGUAUCCGAACGAUAGUAAGCUGAAAAUAGAGAGAGCCAGGGGGUAUUUGAAGGUGUCAAAAGCAUCUGACCCUAUUGGAGAUAUCGGAUUCAAGCGAGUGCUAAAUUUUAGGUUGGGCUCCUUCAAACAAUCCACGCCCACCGACUGGUACAUGGAGGAAUACUCUGUCAAGCAUUUUGCACCUAACAAAGAGGAUGAGAAUUGGAUAAUUGCGAGGAUUUGCCUAGGUCACAGUUGAUCUCUGCAGGCUCACUUUCUCCUGAUCUUGAGGAGAUACAGUCAUUGCUAUAUUUGGAUUGGAACAGUGGUGGAUGGUCUGGAUCUGCAUAUCCUUUUGAGCCUCUAGGCAGUGGUGGAACAGUUUGGAAGGAGUUAUGGUUGAAGAUUUAGACAAUGGUAAUUUUUACACAACAAUGGACAAAGAUGGCCUCUUCAGGUAUGUGUUCGGCUUUGGGAGCAAGACGGUAUAAACUCGGUAAAGAAGUAAUCUUCAAGUAAAGAACAUCUCCGCAGGUGAAGAAUUGGGGUACUUGAAUAAUAUGGCAGCCGAGUUUAGGAUUUCAUUUUAUGGAAAGGGAGAUUACAUUAGUGCUUUUCUAAUGAGUGUAAUUACUCUGCCUCUUCAAUGUAGUUUGUGUUGGAAAAUUAUUUUCCAAUCUAUAUUGUAAUGAAUCUUCAUCUAAUGGUUGAAUUAUUUAUUUCCCAUUGAUAUCA